CGCGGCCUAUCAGCUUGUUGGUGAGGUAAUGGCUCACCAAGGCGACGACGGGUAGCCGGCCUGAGAGGGUGACCGGCCACACUGGGACUGAGACACGGCCCAGACUCCUACGGGAGGCAGCAGUGGGGAAUAUUGCACAAUGGGCGCAAGCCUGAUGCAGCGACGCCGCGUGAGGGAUGACGGCCUUCGGGUUGUAAACCUCUUUCAGUAGGGACGAAGCGCAAGUGACGGUACCCAGAGAAGAAGCCCCGGCCAACUACGUGCCAGCAGCCGCGGUAAUACGUAGGGUGCAAGCGUUGUCCGGAAUUAUUGGGCGUAAAGAGCUCGUAGGCGGUCUGUCGCGUCGGCUGUGAAAACUCGGGGCUCAACCCUGGGCCUGCAUUCGAUACGGGCAGACUAGAGUUCGGUAGGGGAGACUGGAAUUCCUGGUGUAGCGGUGAAAUGCGCAGAUAUCAGGAGGAACACCGGUGGCGAAGGCGGGUCUCUGGGCCGAUACUGACGCUGAGGAGCGAAAGCGUGGGGAGCGAACAGGAUUAGAUACCCUGGUAGUCCACGCUGUAAACGUUGGGCGCUAGGUGUGGGGGGCCUCUCCGGUUCCCUGUGCCGCAGCUAACGCAUUAAGCGCCCCGCCUGGGGAGUACGG
rnacentral:rRNA from 1 species